AUGUCGCCACCCAAGGUGAUCGCCGGGCCAGCCUGUGUGGUUGGCGAUGAAGGUCGUGGUGAGAUUUUUGCUGAUUCGUUCCCUGGCAAAGGACCUUGGACGCCAAGGCGGCGGCCUCGGACGGCACGGAAGCGUUCGUCAGAUGUGCUAGCCGGCUUCCUCGGCUACACGGGUGGAGAAGAUUUGGCUGAUUGUGGUCGCAACCCAGAUUCCCCACCUUCUGCUCCAGAUCUAAAGACUAAGAAAGGUUUGGAGGACUCCAUCGGCAUGUACACGGUCCAAUGCUACAAAUGUGAGAAAUGGCGCAAGAUCCCAACGAAAAAGGAGUUCGAGACGAUCCGCGAGAGCUUAGCCGAGGACCCCUGGUUCUGUGGCAGGGACCCCAGCGCCGGCCGUUCCUGCAAGCAGCCGGAGGACAUUCCGUUCGAUAGCAGCUACAUCUGGGUCAUGGAUAAGGCAGGCAUCCCGCGCCCGCCACCUGCGACGGAGCGGCUGGUGAUCAUGCGGCGUGACCUAUCCAAGAUGGACACGUACUACUUGCUGCCCAACGGGAAGCGCGCGCGGUCCGGCGGCGACGUGGAGAAGUUCCUCCAGGAGAACCCAGAGUAUAGGGCGAACCUGCCGGCAUCAAAGUUCUCCUUCGCCACGCCCAAGAUCGUUCCGGCGACUGUGGUAGAGAGCUCACUAUGGAGGGUUGCCAAGGCCGAGGGAAAAGUGUGA
rnacentral:rRNA from 1 species